rnacentral:rRNA from 1 species
GUCGAACGCAUCCUUCGGGGUGAGUGGCAGACGGGUGAGUAACGCGUGGGAACGUGCCCUUCAGUUCGGAAUAACCCAGGGAAACUUGGGCUAAUACCGGAUACGUGCGAGAGCAGAAAGAUUUAUCGCUGAAGGAUCGGCCCGAGUCUGAUUAGCUAGUUGGUGAGGUAAUGGCUCACCAAGGCGACGAUCAGUAGCUGGUCUGAGAGGAUGAUCAGCCACAUUGGGACUGAGACACGGCCCAAACUCCUACGGGAGGCAGCAGUGGGGAAUAUUGGACAAUGGGCGCAAGCCUGAUCCAGCCAUGCCGCGUGAGUGAUGAAGGCCUUAGGGUUGUAAGCUCUUUCGUCCGGGACGAUAAUGACGGUACCGGAAGAAGAAGCCCCGGCUAACUUCGUGCCAGCAGCCGCGGUAAUACGAAGGGGGCUAGCGUUGUUCGGAAUCACUGGGCGUAAAGGGGCGCGUAGGCGGCUUUGUAAGUCGGGGGUGAAGCCUGUGGCUCAACCACAGAAUUGCCUUCGAUACUGCAUGGCUUGAGACCGGAAGAGGUUAGUGGAAUCUGCGAGUGUAGAGGUGAAAUUCGUAGAUAUUCGCAAGAACACACGGUGGCGAAGGCGGCUGAC